CCUACGGGAGGCAGCAGUAGGGAAUCUUCCGCAAUGGACGAAAGUCUGACGGAGCAACGCCGCGUGAGUGAUGAAGGUUUUCGGAUCGUAAAACUCUGUUGUUAGGGAAGAACAAGUACGAGAGUAACUGCUCGUACCUUGACGGUACCUAACCAGAAAGCCACGGCUAACUACGUGCCAGCAGCCGCGGUAAU
rnacentral:rRNA from 2 species